UACGUAGGGUGCGAGCGUUAAUCGGAAUUACUGGGCGUAAAGCGUGCGCAGGCGGUUUUGUAAGCCAGAUGUGAAAUCCCCGGGCUUAACCUGGGAAUGGCAUUUGGGACUGCAAGGCUGGAGUGCGGCAGAGGAGACUGGAAUUCCUGGUGUAGCAGUGGAAAUGCGUAGAUAUCAGGAGGAAUACCGAUGGCGAAGGCAGGUCUCUGGGCUGACACGUGACGCUCAUGCACGAAAGCGUGGGGAGC
rnacentral:rRNA from 1 species